rnacentral:sRNA from 12 species
AUUGUGGAGCGUUAUAUAAACUUAAGUAGCCAAAUGGUGAACAAGAACGCUGUGAAACAAUAA